rnacentral:rRNA from 1 species
UACGAAGGGUGCAAGCGUUGUUCGGAUUUACUGGGCGUAAAGCGCGCGCAGGCGGAUUGAUAAGUCAGAUGUGAAAUCUCGGGGCUCAACCCCGAAACUGCGUCUGAAACUGUUGAUCUAGAGUUAUGUAGGGGAGAAGGGAAUUUCGCAUGUAGGGGUAAAAUCCGUAGAGAUGCGAAGGAACACCAGAGCCGAAGGGGCUUCUCUGGGCAUACACUGACGCUGAGGCGCGAAAGCGUGGGUAGCGAACAGGAUUAGAUACCCUGGUAGUCCACGCCGUAAACGAUGAGUACUAGAUUUUGGGGCCUUUGACCGCCUCAGAGUCGCAGCUAACGCAUUAAGUACUCCGCCUGGGAAGUACGGUCGCGAGACUAAAACUCAAAGGAAUUGACGGGGGCCCGCACAAGCGGUGGAUUAUGUGGUUUAAUUCGAAGCAACGCGCAGAACCUUACCUGGGCUUGAAAUCCCGAGAAGAUCGGCAACACUGAUUGUGCUCUUCGGAGAACUCGGUGACAGGCGCUGCAUGGCUGUCGACAGCUCGUGUCGUGAGAUGUUGGGUUAAGUCUCGCAACGAGCGCAACCCCUAUCCUUAGUUGCCAGCAUUAAGUUGGGCACUCUAGGGAGACUGCCUGGGUUAACCAGGAGGAAGGUGGGGAUGACGUCAAGUCCUCAUGGCCCUUAUGUCCAGGGCUACACACGUAAUACAAUGGUGCAUACAAAGGGACGCGACCCCGCGAGGGUGAGCAAAUCUCAAAAAGUGCAUCUCAGUCCGGAUUGGAGUCUGCAACUCGACUCCAUGAGGUUGGAAUCGCUAGUAAUCGCGGAUCAGCACGCCGCGGUGAAUACGUUCCCGGGCC